AGUGAACGCUGGCGGUAGGCCUAACACAUGCAAGUCGAACGGCAGCACAGUAAGAGCUUGCUCUUACGGGUGGCGAGUGGCGGACGGGUGAGGAAUACAUCGGAAUCUACUUUUUCGUGGGGGAUAACGUAGGGAAACUUACGCUAAUACCGCAUACGACCUACGGGUGAAAGCAGGGGAUCUUCUUACCUUGCGCGAUUGAAUGAGCCGAUGUCGGAUUAGCUAGUUGUCGGGGUAAAGGCCCACCAAGGCGACGAUCCGUAGCUGGUCUGAGAGGAUGAUCAGCAACACUGGAACUGAGACACGGACCAGACUACGACGGGAGGCAGCAGUGGGGAAUAUUGGACAAUGGGCGAAAGCAUGAUACAGCAAUACCGCGUGGGUGAAGAAGGCCUUCGGGUUGUAAAGCACUUUUGUUGGGAAAGAAAAGCAGCAGGUUAAUACCCAGCUGUUCUGACGGUACCAAAAGAAUAAGCACCGGCUAACUUCGUG
rnacentral:rRNA from 1 species